rnacentral:lncRNA from 1 species
UUGCAAAACACUUGGAACCCUAUAAGGUAGAUAUUUAUUAUUCUGCUUUACAGGUGAAGAAGAUGAGAGAUGAAGCCAUCUGCCCAAGCCCGGAUAGGUGGUAACAGAAGGCAGGAGCUCUUUGCAAAGCACCACACCACAUGGGAUGGACUUAUAAAUGUUAGUGGUCAACCAUGAGUGACAAGGGAGUUCGGGCCUGCACACCAGCUUUGCAGCAGCAUCAAGAGACCUCUGCAAACGUAAGCAAAGCUGCCCAGGGCGGGACUGUUUUGAGCACCACUAGUCCAUUCUCUCUCUGGAGACCAGAGCGGCAAUGGCUUUGGGUGGCUUCCGGGCUGCUGAAGAGGAUCCUCAUCCUAGACUUGGCAAGAAUCUAAAGGAAUCUACGGGGGGAGCAGGAGGUGGGGUCAAGGGCAGUAAAAACGACUAAGAUGCAUAUGUACAUGCACCAAUUCUCCGGGAUAAG